AUUUGUUUUUCCGCGUGUUCGCACACGUUCACGGCAGCGAGAACAACAACGUGCGGUGUUGUGAGCUUGCCGCUAAAAUCAAAUGAAAGUCCAAGCCAAGCGAAAGUCGACGAAUAAAGUGGCAAUAUGCAGUGCGUGUGCAUAGAAAAACCAGAUAUACAGCGGCCACAGGGUAAAGUACUUUGGACAAGUGUCAAAUCCCCGAAACGCCAGUGAAAGAAAGAAAGAAAAUCGAAGGAAAAAUCAACAUACAGCAGCAUACGCAGAGAAAAUCGCUGGAAAACCGGACAAAAUGUUUGGCAGCCAAAGUGGCUGCCUUUGAGGCUGAGUGAGUGGCUCAAGCACGAAGACCUUUUUUAAGACAGAAAGCCUAGAGAAACUAGAAAAAGUGCAGAAAGAGAAAUUUCGAAUUAUUACGAGAAUCUUCUUAUAUUUGAAAUAUUUUCAAAUUCAAAUUUAAAUAACUUUAUUCUUAAUAAAAACUAAUUGAUAAUUAAUUACAUAAUAGUAAACAAAGCUCAAAUAGACUGAAAUAGAGUCCAAAUAUAUUACGAAAGUAAAAUGCAAUUAAUUCAACAUAUCAUAUAAAUUAAUUAGAACAAAUUGCAUUUAAGUUAUAAAACAAAGCGAAAGCAAAACAAAACAACAAGCGUAUAAUAAUUACACGCAAACAAAGGGCAGGAAAAAUCGAAUGAACAAAAGUCAAAAAAUAAACACGCAAAAAAAGGGCGAAAAGUGAGCGAGAGAAAAAAUAAUAAAAAGAGAUCAAUGUGCAAAAAGUGCUAAGGAGGAGAAGAAGAACCAAUAACCCAUAUAAAAUACUGUAAAAUUCGCCGUUUAGUUCGCGUUUCAAUUAAAUUUAAUAAUAAAUUACUAUGCUAAAUCCAAGGACAUAAAUGGAUCAUCAAUCGUAGAGGCAGCCGAAAAGAAAAUAAG